rnacentral:rRNA from 1 species
AUUGAACGCUGGCGGAAUGCUUUACACAUGCAAGUCGAGCGGCAGCGCGGGGGCAACCCUGGCGGCGAGCGGCGAACGGGUGAGUAAUGUAUCGGAACGUACCCUGUCGUGGGGGAUAACACAGCGAAAGCUGUGCUAAUACCGCAUACGACCUGAGGGUGAAAGCGGGGGACCGUAAGGCCUCGCGCGAUAGGAGCGGCCGAUAUCGGAUUAGCUAGUUGGUGAGGUAAAGGCUCACCAAGGCGACGAUCCGUAGCUGGUCUGAGAGGACGACCAGCCACACUGGAACUGAGACACGGUCCAGACUCCUACGGGAGGCAGCAGUGGGGAAUUUUGGACAAUGGGGGCAACCCUGAUCCAGCCAUUCCGCGUGAGUGAAGAAGGCCUUCGGGUUGUAAAGCUCUUUCAGCAGGAACGAAACGGUGGUCCCUAAUACGGGUUACUAAUGACGGUACCUGAAGAAGAAGCACCGGCUAACUACGUGCCAGCAGCCGCGGUAAUACGUAGGGUGCGAGCGUUAAUCGGAAUUACUGGGCGUAAAGCGUGCGCAGGCGGUUCUAUAAGACAGAUGUGAAAUCCCCGGGCUUAACCUGGGAACUGCGUUUGUGACUGUAGGACUUGAGUAUGGGAGAGG